rnacentral:rRNA from 1 species
GAUGAACGCUGGCGGCGUGCUUAACACAUGCAAGUCGAACGAAGAAACCUUGAAUGAGAGCUUCGGCAGGAUUUCUUGGUAUCUUAGUGGCGGACGGGUGAGUAACGUGUGGGCAACCUGCCCUAUACUGGGGAAUAAUCACUGGAAACGGUGACUAAUACCGCAUGUCAUCACCGAGGGGCAUCCCUUGGUGAAAAAGGAGUAAUUCGGUAUAGGAUGGGCCCGCAUCUGAUUAGCUAGUUGGUGAGGUAACGGCUCACCAAGGCGACGAUCAGUAGCCGGUCUGAGAGGAUGAACGGCCACAUUGGGACUGAGAUACGGCCCAG